rnacentral:tRNA from 5 species
GCCACUGUGGCUUAGAGGUAUAGCGUCGCCUUGGUAAGGCGAAGGUCGGGGGUUCAAUUCCCCCCAGUGGCUCCA